rnacentral:rRNA from 4 species
GGCGCAAGCCUGAUGCAGCCAUGCCGCGUGUGUGAAGAAGGCCUUCGGGUUGUAAAGCACUUUCAGUCGUGAGGAAGGUGGUAGUGUUAAUAGCACUAUCAUUUGACGUUAGCGACAGAAGAAGCACCGGCUAACUCCGUGCCAGCAGCCGCGGUAAUACGGAGGGUGCGAGCGUUAAUCGGAAUUACUGGGCGUAAAGCGCAUGCAGGUGGUUUGUUAAGUCAGAUGUGAAAGCCCGGGGCUCAACCUCGGAAUAGCAUUUGAAACUGGCAGACUAGAGUACUGUAGAGGGGGGUAGAAUUUCAGGUGUAGCGGUGAAAUGCGUAGAGAUCUGAAGGAAUACCGGUGGCGAAGGCGGCCCCCUGGACAGAUACUGACACUCAGAUGCGAAAGCGUGGGGAGCAAACAGGAUUAGAUACCCUGGUAGUCCACGCCGUAAACGAUGUCUACUUGGAGGUUGUGGCCUUGAGCCGUGGCUUUCGGAGCUAACGCGUUAAGUAGACCGCCUGG